GUUUGAAUGAUGAUUUCACAAUUAAGUCGGAAUCCCCUUCUCUCGACUGAGAGAAAAUGUGAAUCUGACAAGC